UUCCAGACUCCUACGGGAGGCAGCAGUGAGGAAUAUUGGUCAAUGGGCGGGAGCCUGAACCAGCCAAGUCGCGUGAGGGAAGACGGUCCUAUGGAUUGUAAACCUCUUUAGGCGGGGAGCAAUGCCGGGCACGCGUGCCCGGAGGGAGAGUACCCGCAGAAUAAGCAUCGGCUAACUCCGUGCCAGCAGCCGCGGUAAUACGGAGGAUGCGAGCGUUAUCGGGAUUUAUUGGGUUUAAAGGGUGCGCAGGCGGGGGCGGCAGGUCAGGGGUAAAAGUGCGGGGCUCAACCUCGCCGAGCCGUUGAAACUGCUCUUCUAGAGUGGGCGAGAAGUAUGCGGAAUGCGUGGUGUAGCGGUGAAAUGCAUAGAUAUCACGCAGAACUCCGAUUGCGAAGGCAGCGCACCGGCGCCCUACUGACGCUCAGGCACGAAAGCGUGGGUAUCGAACAGGAUUAGAUACCCGCGUAA
rnacentral:rRNA from 1 species